rnacentral:lncRNA from 1 species
AUGUUCCUGUUUGUAAACAAUUCUCUCUCCUCACUAAAUCUGUACAGCACCUGGAUACUUACCUGACACAAUGAUGAUCUGUCCCAUAUGCAUUAGUGUUUACAAUACAGUCUUUUUGUAGUUGUUAGUCCUAAGACAUGAUCUGUUUGUUAAUCAGGAUUUCGACUGAUGGAUUCAAUGAGACGAGUCAAUCCAGAAGGGGUCAAGAUGCAACGGUUAUCUAUUAAGACUGCAAGGCGUUUUCAGUACAGUGUACCAGCAGCAAAUCACCUUUGGCAUAUAGAUGGAAAUCAGCAUUGAGCGCCUGUGGAGGGAUGUAUAUGAAAACAUCUUCACCCAGCUGGAGAUUCAAGGACUGCUCAACCCUGGUGAAAAAAUUCACUUGUUUGCUCUGCACAGAUGCUUUUUGCAUCACAUUCAACAUCAUCUUCAGUCAUUCCAGGAAGCAUGGAAUCAGCACGGACUCAGAAAAGCAAACAACCAUUCACCCCUGCACCUCUGGUUGCUGCACAGAAAGGAGGGACAAGAUUUGUCACAGGUUGAUGAGGAUUAUGGUGUGGACUGGACAGGACCACAUAAUCACCGCCCAUCAAAUGAGAUCACCAUUCCUGAGAUUCAGCUCCCACGUGCACUGAAUGAACGAGACCCUGCUGUGCUACCAAACAACAACGUUUCACUCAGUCAAGCUUUGGAUGCCUACUGUGAAACUGUUCAGUCACUCAAACUUAUGUUUGAUAACACACCUUAACUCUUCAAAGUAAACAGGUGCAAUAUGUUCACACCAUAUUUCUUGCAUAACCAUACUUCAAAAUCACUUGUAGAAAGACACUAUCACAUUUAAUCAGUUUCCAUGUCAGGAGGAUUUUUUUUUUUAAUUUCUACAUCUAUGGCUUUGUAGCUAAUACUGACUCAAAACAGCAUAACCAAUUUCAUUAAAAAAAAAAAAAACAGUGAGUGGCUAUAAAGCAGGAUUUGUUUUAUACAGCUGUCACUUUAAUGAUAUUCAUUUCUUGGUUGGAUGUACAGUACAUGUCAACUCUGAGCAGAUUUAAUACAAUGCAGACAGUACAGUAGUGUAACAUCUUAAUUCAAAUAAUUUUUUCUACAAAAUUGUUUUGUACCAGUAGCGAGUAUAAACAAAACAUACUGUGUAAUUUAUAAUAUACAGUGAACAACUGAUUUUGAUAUCUGAACUCUGUCAGUUUAUAUUAAAAAAAGCCAUAAAUGCUCACCUGUACUGUGCAUUUUUCACUGUCAAGUGUAUUAAAAGGAACUAGAACUCACUAGAUUGUCCAUUUCUUUGAACACUGAAUACAGUAAUGUGAUGCAAGAAAGAAGAAAUGGUCUAAUCUUACCAUGUGGUUAUAGAAUCAAUCCUAAACCAGACCAAAAUCUGAGUCAGUAGAGUUGAGACACACCUGAAUGUCCAUUACAAAUGACUCAUAGGUACAGUAGUGUGCAGGAAGACGUAGUACUUCAAAACAGGUGGAAGACUGCUGUUGACCACUUCCACAGUCAUUUCUCUCGGCAAGACUUCCCAUCCUGUCCAAAACUUGAUGAGGGCUUUUCGUUGUGCACAAGAUGCUGCAACAGAAGAUUGUUUUAAACUAUAAUGACAUCCUAUAUUCAUUAUUUUGAAUCUUUUAUGGAGAAAUACCAUAAAAGAUGACCACUUACAUACAGGGCACCAAACAUUUUUGCCCCACUGAAAUUGCUGUUGUAGCUGUUAUAGAUAUUUUUAUGUUAACAAAGCUAAAAGUAGUCUACAUACAAUUAUAGUGCAACUGAUAAUGCCACCACUCUGUUUUUUUAUGUAUUGCAUGGAGGCAGGAUGGAGCAAAUAACAAAACAAAAUUAUACUAUAGUGUACUUUGUUAAUGACCCAAGAUCACUGGACUGUAUGUAAUUUACCAAAGUAUAAUCAGAGAAAACCAAUAGCAAAAUACCUAUCGCAGCAGACUUACCAUUUUCAAUGAAGGACCGAAGGUAGCCUGCCACUCUGCAUUUAUCCUCAAGAGCAUUCCUCUUCUUCCUCAUCUUCAUCUUCUGUGGCAGGCCACAGUCAUUUUAUAGCUUUACUUAUCUUGUAGUCUUAAGAGCAUCAGCAACAUUAGGUGUAUUUUUAUUAAAUGUAACCCAGCUGUUCAACUAACCCAAGCAUACAAAAUAGUAUAUUGGUGUUUUGUGUCAACAAUUAAUGUGCAUCCUUCAUAAAUUAACCAAAUACCUUUACUAUUCAGAUGUUAAAAGAUGUGACCUGACCUUACCUCACAACAGGGAGCAGUCUCUGAUUCCCUUGGUAAGAAAAGAGGAAUGUCGUCUGAUCUUUCUGUCAGAAGCGGCCGUACCAUUGUCUCCUUAAGCCCUUUCCUCAGCUGCUUGACUUGACGACUUGUUCGUGUUAUGAACUACAACGGUGAGACCAAACCAAAACUGAAGUUGGCUUCCGUAAAGUGACACACACUUUAAAUGUUAAAUAUUUAAAGAACAUCCACCGUACUAGUAAAAGCAUUUUCAAAUUAUACCCACUUACAAAAUCACUACGUUGAACUAAAAUUGCUUUCUUUUCUUUCACAUAGAUUACUUGUCUUCCAUAUUAGCAGAGAAGAUAAGCCACUUUAAAACAGUCAUGAAUAACUAUUACCUACAACAAUGUAAAUAGUAAUACAGACAUUAACCCAGAAGACAAUUAUUUUCUCUUACCCUAAUUUAUGGAAUUCUUUGCUAUGAUAAAAACAGUAUUAAAAAAAUAUGUGACUGAACUGAUUAAAAAGCUAAUUUUUGGGAGACAGACUAACUGAGCAGUAAUAACAUAUCGUUACUUACCCUGAACAGCGUUUCGUGGAGUGGAGCUAGCUGUGAUAGCUUUAGCAUUUGCUAACGUUAACACUGUGCGGUUGAUGAGAACUUGGACCAGGGACCGCUUCAUCUCCAGUACACUGCUGCAAUACUCUCUCAAACUGAGGUGAAGACGUACAAUCUAAGCGGUUAGCAAGUUCUCUGAGUAACUCAGAAACGGACUUGUCUCCUGCAGCCAUGUCCUUCACAAGAACUGAUAAACCUGUAACGUUAUUCGCGCCCAGUGUUUUGCAUUUGUCGGUGCCUUAACUUUAUUUUGAGCUGCAUACUCCCGCCGGCUGCAUAGGAGACGCAUUGCACCAUUAAACCUAAAUCGACACUUCAUGUGCUAUUACUUGUGUCUGAGUAAAGGAGCAACCAAUCACACAACUGGCUCCGCCCUGUCUCUCUUGAUUGACAGACAAAGUCAUUCUGCUGAAAAGUCGCAUUAUGAAAUAAAUAGACGAUCGGGAAAAACGGGAUUUUGAAAUAAAGACUGACUUUGAAAAAAGGACAUUUUGGAAUAAAAACGGCUGGAAAUAAAUAAAAUGCCUCAGCAAUAAUCUCUGUUAUUGUGAAAAAUAAUGACCAUGAAAUAAUAUUUCACAAUAAUAAGUAAAUUUAUAUAGCAGAAUGCAA